rnacentral:rRNA from 1 species
GAUGAACGCUGGCGGCGUGCCUAAUACAUGCAAGUCGAGCGAAUGGAUUGAGAGCUUGCUCUUAUGAAGUUAGCGGCGGACGUGUGAGUAACACGUGGGUAACCUGCCCAUAAGACUGGGAUAACUCCGGGAAACCGGGGCUAAUACCGGAUAACAUUUUGAACCGCAUGGUUCGAAAUUGAAAGGCGGCUUCGGCUGUCACUUAUGGAUGGACCCGCGUCGCAUUAGCUAGUUGGUGAGGUAACGGCUCACCAAGGCAACGAUGCGUAGCCGACCUGAGAGGGUGAUCGGCCACCCUGGGACUGAGACACGGCCCAGGUGCCUACGGGAGGCAGCAGGAGGGAAUCUUCCGCAAUUGACGAAAGUCUGACGGAGCAACGCCGCGUGAGUGAUGAAGGCUUUCGGGUCGUAAAACUCUGUUGUUAGGGAAGAACAAGUGCUAGUUGAAUAAGCUGGCACCUUGACGGUACCUAACCAGAAAGCCACGGCUAACUACGUGCCAGCAGCCGCGGUAA